CCAGCACUGUGAGGUAGUGAGGCAGAGGCUUCCGUGCCAGAGUUCUGCCUGGCUGUGUCCUCUGAGCCCCUCCUGCUCACCUCUCUGUGAGUCAAAGCCCAGACUAAGGACAGCUAGUGCCUGCUGUGCUCUUUCCCCAAGACAGAGGGAUGGGGUAAGCAUUUGGUCUGCAGAAGGCUGCCUAUCAGGACACAGCUGAAGACAACAGCUUCAUCUUUCCGACUGUAGAUCCAGGUCUACCGACAAGUCCAAGUGCCUCCAAGUCAUCAGUUGGAGGCAUCAGGUUGGUAGAGCCUGGACUAAGGGCCCACUUCCUUGCUCCCACAGAAGAAAGAAAGCAAUAUCUGCCGUGUUAAGCUUCUAUAAUAGAAGGCAGCUUAACAAUCCACCAAGAUUCAUAAGCCUCAUGUCUUCAAAAGUGAAAAUAUACUUUUGUUACAACUAUUUAAGGAAAAAAAAUCCCUGGAUUGAUGCGGUAUCAAGCCAGAAGGUUAAGAAUUUGAGCUGGUCAAGUUUGACUUUAAUAAGUUGCCCAGAGCCUUUGGAAACAAACCACUUUGCCUCACAGUCUAAUUUCCUGCUUCCCUUCAUAAACCCUUGACUUCAACGGGCACUUCCUUCCAGGUGAGCCCAGGUGAUAACUGAGUUGUUUUGCCAAUGCCUUGCCACAGCUGCCAGGAUUCUCAUCUCAACACUAGAUAGAUUAUUCAAUGAGACCAGAUAACCAAUCCCAGAUUCCACCUUUCUGUCUACAGCCAUUGCUGGUACCAAUUUUGAAACUGAGUAUGGCCAGUUUAAAGCAGAAAAGGAAUUUUUUGAUACAAUACUGAUUAGUUCACAAGAUUGCCUGGAAAGCUGAAAAACAAGGAAUUAAAGACACAAGGUAGUUGCUAUGACCCUUGUCAAAAGCACUCCAAAAGCUACUCCAGUGAGGCAAUUUUGGGCUUUUAUAAUGAGAGGUGGGUCCUGCCUAUCAACAAGACUCAUACAGUGCAAAAUUCCUUAAACACUUAAAAGGGGUUUCACUUGCCAGAAAGCUAAAAGAAUGAUGAAUGAAUGUUACACUGUCCUG
rnacentral:lncRNA from 1 species